GUGCUCGCUCAGUAGCACAUCUAUUAAAUUACUACAGAGAAGAUUGGCACCGCCCCUGCACAAGGAGGACACGCAAAUUCGUGCAGUGUUGCAUAUUUUU
rnacentral:snRNA from 1 species